rnacentral:tRNA from 1 species
GGAUAUCGCCAAGUGGUAAGGCAUCGGACUCUGACCCCGACAUUCGCUGGUUCGAAUCCAGCUAUC